UCUACGGGAGGCAGCAGUGGGGAAUAUUGCACAAUGGGGGAAACCCUGAUGCAGCGACGCCGCGUGAAGGAAGAAGUAUUUCGGUAUGUAAACUUCUAUCAGCAGGGAAGAAAAUGACGGUACCUGACUAAGAAGCCCCGGCUAACUACGUGCCAGCAGCCGCGGUAAUACGUAGGGGGCAAGCGUUAUCCGGAUUUACUGGGUGUAAAGGGAGCGUAGGCGGUUCAGCAAGUCAGAAGUGAAAGCCCGGGGCUCAACUCCGGGACUGCUUUUGAAACUGUUGAACUAGAGUGCAGGAGAGGUAAGUGGAAUUCCUAGUGUAGCGGUGAAAUGCGUAGAUAUUAGGAGGAACACCAGUGGCGAAGGCGGCUUACUGGACUGUAAAUGACGCUGAGGCUCGAAAGCGUGGGGAGCAAGCAGGAUUAGAUACCCGGGUAGUC
rnacentral:rRNA from 1 species